rnacentral:rRNA from 1 species
AUUGAACGCUGGCGGCAUGCCUUACACAUGCAAGUCGAACGGCAGCACGGGAGCAAUCCUGGUGGCGAGUGGCGAACGGGUGAGUAAAGCAUCGGAACGUACCUGGUAGUGGGGGAUAGCCCGGCGAAAGCCGGAUUAAUACCGCAUACGACCUGAGGGUGAAAGCGGGGGAUCGCAAGACCUCGCGCUAUUGGAGCGGCCGAUGUCAGAUUAGCUAGUUGGUGGGGUAAAGGCCUACCAAGGCGACGAUCUGUAGCUGGUCUGAGAGGACGCACAGCCACACUGGGACUGAGACCCGGCCCAGACUCCUACGGGAGGCAGCAGUGGGGAAUUUUGGACAAUGGCGCAAGCCUGAUCCAGCCAUGCCGCGUGCGGGAAGAAGGCCUUCGGGUUGUAAACCGCUUUUGUCAGGGAAGAAAUCUUCUGGGUUAAUACCUCGGGAGGAUGACGGUACCUGAAGAAUAAGCACCGGCUAACUACGUGCCAGCAGCCGCCGUAA